GAUGAACGCUGGCGGCGUGCUUAAUACAUGCAAGUCGAACGAGGGACUUCUGUCUUCGGAUGGAGGUUUCCUAGUGGCGAACGGGUGAGUAACGCGUUGGUGACCUGCCCCGAAGUGGGGGAUAACAGUUCGAAAGGACUGCUAAUACCUCAUGUGAUCAGCUGGAUUAGAUGCCUACUGAUUAAAGGCGAAAGCCGCUUUGGGAGGGGCCUGCGUCCCAUCAGCUAGUUGGUAGGGUAAUGGCCUACCAAGGCGAUGACGGGUAGGGGACCUGAGAGGGUGGCCCCCCACACUGGCACUGAAACACGGGCCAGACACCUACGGGUGGCAGCAGUAGGGAAUAUUGGACAAUGGGCGAAAGCCUGAUCCAGCAACGCCGCGUGCGUGAUGACGGCCUUCGGGUUGUAAAGCGCUUUUAGAGGAGAUGAGAAAGGACAGUAUCCUCAGAAUAAGCCUCGGCGAACUACGUGCCAGCCGCCGCCGUAAGAC
rnacentral:rRNA from 1 species